rnacentral:rRNA from 1 species
CCAAUAGCGUAUAUUAAAGUUGUUGCAGUUAAAAAGCUCGUAGUUGAAUUUCGGAAUCAGUAUGUUGGUCGUGCCUUGGUAUGUACUGGCGUCACUGGUUCCUCCCUUCUGAAGAACCGUCAUGCCAUUAAUUUGGUGUGGCGGGGAAUCAGGACUGUUACUUUGAAAAAUUAGAGUGUUUAAAGCAGGCUCGCGCUUGAAUACAUUAGCAUGGAAUAACGGAAUAGGACGUUUGAUUCUAUUUUGUUGGUUUCUAGGAUCGACGUAAUGAUUAAUAGGGAUAGUUGGGGGAAUUAGUAUUCAAUUGUCAGAGGUGAAAUUCUUGGAUUUAUUGAAGACUAACUACUGCGAAAGCAUUUGCCAAGGAUGUUUUCAUUAAUCAAGAACGAAAGUUAGGGGAUCGAAGACGAUCAGAUACCGUCGUAGUCUUAACCAUAAACUAUGCCGACUAGGGAUCGGAUGAUGUUAAUUUUUUAAUGACUCAUUCGGCGCCUUACG